rnacentral:rRNA from 1 species
AUUGAACGCUGGCGGCAUGCUUUACACAUGCAAGUCGAACGGCAGCGCGGGCUUCGGCCUGGCGGCGAGUGGCGAACGGGUGAGUAAUACAUCGGAACGUGCCCAGUAGUGGGGGAUAGCUCGGCGAAAGCCGGAUUAAUACCGCAUACGACCUGAGGGUGAAAGCGGGGGAUCUUCGGACCUCGCGCUAUUGGAGCGGCCGAUGGCAGAUUAGCUAGUUGGUGGGGUAAAGGCCUACCAAGGCGACGAUCUGUAGCUGGUCUGAGAGGACGACCAGCCAAACUGGGACUGAGACACGGCCCAGACCCCUAGGGGAGGCAGCAGGGGGGAAUUUUGGAAAAUGGGCGAAAGCCUGAUCCAGCAAUGCCGGGUGUGUGAUGAAGGCCUUCGGGUUGUAAAGCACUUUUGGCGGGAACGAAAAGGACUGUGCCAAUACCACGGUUCGAUGACGGUACCCGCAAAAUAAGCACCGGCUAACUACGG